rnacentral:rRNA from 1 species
UACGUAGGGACCGAGCGUUGUCCGGAUUCAUUGGGCGUAAAGAGCUCGUAGGCGGCCACUCAAGUCGAAUGUGAAACCUCGAGGCUUAACCUCGAGCCUGCAUUCGAUACUGGGCGGCUAGAGUCUGGUAGGGGGAUCUGGAAUUCCUGGUGUAGCGGUGAAAUGCGCAGAUAUCAGGAGGAACACCGGUGGCGAAGGCGGGUCUCUGGGCCGAUACUGACGCUGAGGAGCGAAAGCGUGGGGAGCGAACAGG